rnacentral:rRNA from 1 species
GAUGAACGCUGGCGGCGUGCCUAAUACAUGCAAGUCGAGCGAACAGACGGGGAGCUUGCUCCUCUGACGUUAGCGGCGGACGGGUGAGUAACACGUGGAUAACCUACCUAUAAGACUGGGAUAACUUCGGGAAACCGGAGCUAAUACCGGAUAAUAUAUUGAGCCGCAUGGUUCAAUAGUGAAAGACGGUUUUGCUGUCACUUAUAGAUGGAUCCGCGCCGCAUUAGCUAGUUGGUAAGGUAACGGCUUACCAAGGCAACGAUGCGUAGCCGACCUGAGAGGGUGAUCGGCCACACUGGAACUGAGACACGGUCCAGACUCCUACGGGAGGCAGCAGUAGGGAAUCUUCCGCAAUGGGCGAAAGCCUGACGGAGCAACGCCGCGUGAGUGAUGAAGGUCUUCGGAUCGUAAAACUCUGUUAUUAGGGAAGAACAAAUGUGUAAGUAACUAUGCACGUCUUGACGGUACCUAAUCAGAAAGCCACGGCUAACUACGUG